rnacentral:rRNA from 1 species
UGCCUUCGGGAACUGUGAGACAGGUGCUGCAUGGCUGUCGUCAGCUCGUGUUGUGAAAUGUUGGGUUAAGUCCCGCAACGAGCGCAACCCUUAUCCUUUGUUGCCAGCGAUUAGGUCGGGAACUCAAAGGAGACUGCCAGUGAUAAACUGGAGGAAGGUGGGGAUGACGUCAAGUCAUCAUGGCCCUUACGACCAGGGCUACACACGUGCUACAAUGGCGCAUACAAAGAGAAGCGACCUCGCGAGAGCAAGCGGACCUCAUAAAGUGCGUCGUAGUCCGGAUUGGAGUCUGCAACUCGACUCCAUGAAGUCGGAAUCGCUAGUAAUCGUGGAUCAGAAUGCCACGGUGAAUACGUUCCCGGGCCUUGUACACACCGCCCGUCACACCAUGGGAGUGGGUUGCAAAAGAAGUAGGUAGCUUAACCUUCGGGAGGGCGCUUACCACUUUGUGAUUCAUGACUGGGGUGAAGUCGUAACAAGGUAACCGUAGGGGAACCUGCGGUUGGAUCACCUCCUUACCUUAAAGAA